rnacentral:lncRNA from 1 species
GAAGUCCCGAGGGGCCGUUACGAAACUUGCAAUCUGGGGGCGAUGGUCACGGUCACUAAGUAGAUCACCACACGAGGUCAGGGAGGGUGAGCGGCCAGGAAAGCCUCUCUCAGGAGGGGACAGUUCAGCCCAGACCUGGCUGAUGUGAGGGACAGGCCUGCCUCAGGGCCCUCGACCGUGGCGACUCACUGGAAUCACGGGGGCAGCUCCGAAAGUUUCUGAUCGCUGGGCCCCUCCCGGGGGCUCUGAUGGGACGGGGCUGGGGUGCCGUCUGGACAACGGGAUUUUAAAUUCUGCUCAGGUGAUCCUGAUGUGUAGCCAAAGGUGAGAACCCCUUGCCCUGCAGUUUUCCCAGGCGCCUGUCCACGUGAGUGGCACCUGGGUAAUUGGUCCGGCAUCCUGGGCUGGACCGCAACCCUCAGCAUUCGGAUUUGGGGGCUGGGGGAAGGCCCAGCACCAGACUUUCUCACAAGCAANNNNNNNNNNNNNNNNNNNNNNNNNNNNNNNNNNNNNGAUGUGCCUAGGAGACGAAGUCUGAGCUCCGAGCCUGGCAGUGAGAGCCCCCCACUACUGACCCCAGCCGUGCCCCCGCGGGACCACCUGCUGCUUCGGGACACGCUGACCCAUCUCUGGCCUCAGCCUGGGAGGCGCCUCCUUUCUCCCCGUCAGGUCCCGGCCAUACUCCUAGGCUUAUCAUGGAGCCUGAAGGGCCCCGCUGCUGUGGGCUUGGGAUCCGUUUCCUCACUCCCCUCGGCCCCUGGUCCAGAGCCCCUGUGCCAUUGUGCCCAUGCUUCCUGCCCGGCCAGACCCUGGGCUCUCGGGGGUAGGGCUGGCUUCUCCAGCCACAUGCCACCGAGCCUGGCAUCCCACAGGGUAUGCCUCGUCCUGGUUGAAGGAAUACCAAAUCUACCCAGCUCUGCUGGGCACAGCUGCCCCCACAACUGUGCCGAAGACAGCAGUGUUGGGACCCGCUCUGAGAGAUCCUUGCUCCAUCCCUCCUCCCAGGUCUCCUCCUCUGACUCCUCUUGUGGAGUCUCUCCUAUUGCACCUUUCGCCCUGCCCUAGCGGCCAGGCCCUGGGAUGGGAGGAAUGACACAGUUGUGUUCUCCGAAGCAGAGG